AUGAUGUCAUUUGACUUCAUAUUUAUUCUGCAUGUCAUGAAAGAUUUGAUGGGAAUAACAGAUAUGUUAUGCAAGAAACUACAGUAGAAAUCCCAAGAUAUUUUGAAUUCCAUGGAUGAUGUUUCCACUACAAAGAAAUUGGUACAGCAGCUAAGAGAUGAUGGCUGGGCUAAGUUGAUUAGUGAUGUGAAUUUGUUUUGCCAGAAACAUGGAAUUACUGCUCCAAAUAUGACUGACAACUAUGUUGAUUUCAUUCGGUCUCGUGCAGAUGAUCUCAGUACAGCCGAGCAUCACUAUCGGUAUGAUAUUUUUACAGUUGCAGUUGACCAACAACUACAUGAACUAAACUGCAGGUUCAGCGAACAAGCAACAGAGAUUCUCAUCCUCUGCAAUUCUUUGAAUCCCAAGGACUCAUUUAGUUCAUUGAACAUUGAUGAUGUAUGUUCUCUCGCCUCAAAAUACUACCCCGCUGACUUUUCAGAACAGUAAAGAAACAAUUUGAGAUGUCAACUACAACAUUAUGAGCUUGAUGUACCUACAAAUCCAAGGUUAAUUCGACUUGUUCUCACUUUGCCUGUCUCAACCGCAACAACAGAACGUGCAUUUUCGGCAAUGAAAGUUGUUAAAACAAGACUCCGAAAUAAAAUGGAAGACAUGUUUUUAAGAGAUUGCUUGUUGAUCUACAUCGAGAAAGAGAUUGCAGUAGGAUUCUCAACUGAUGCAAUUAUUGAUGAAUUCAAUACAACGGACCGUCGCGUGGACUUCGAGUGA
rnacentral:rRNA from 1 species